rnacentral:lncRNA from 1 species
AUGGUGGAGAGGGUCUUUCAGGCCAUGCAACCCGCAAAGCUUCUCGCAGGGGCACGAGCAGAGUGUUUUGCAUCGGAGAGCCCCACCUGCAGAGUCCCUUGCUGGCAGUGGAUUUGGACAGCCGCUCUCAGUCUCUGGCUACAGCAGCCUGGGAGCUGGAUGGUGGAGCCAGAUGAUGGAGCCAGGAUUGGGCAACAACAUACAUUCGAGGCAUCCACCUUUCCUGAGAAUGGCAUGAGAGUCCUGUUCAUCCAGUCUUGGGCUCCUUGAAAGUGAACCUGGUCCUGCUAGAAUCGGAUUUUCACCCUAAACAAAAAGACGCCAUGAUUUCUGCAAGACAUGGGAAGAUGAGAGAGUCCAAUCAGAUGGCCUCCAGCUUGGCUUUCAAACACAACCAUUCUACCGAACUAGUCCCACAAAUCUAAAGGAGAUCCUGAAAACAGAAGGGAGUCAGAGGUGGAAAGACAAUUCCCAAAAUGGUGAAAAGAAAGAUUUCAUUAUGUUGUUGCCUUUUUUUUUUUUUUUCCUUCCCUUUUGGUAAUAAAGAAUUUGGUGGAGUUAGUUGGCUGUGCA